rnacentral:rRNA from 1 species
GACGAACGCCGGCGGCGUGCUUAACACAUGCAAGUCGAGCGGUAAGGCCCUUUCGGGGGUACACGAGCGGCGAACGGGUGAGUAACACGUGGGUGCCUGCCCUCAGCUCUGGGAUAAGCCUGGGAAACUGGGUCUAAUACCGGAUAUGACUCCAUGACGCAUGUUGUGGGGUGGAAAGCCUUGUGCGGCUGAGGAUGGGCCCGCGGCCUAUCAGCUUGUUGGUGGGGUGAUGGCCUACCAAGGCGACGACGGGUAGCCGGCCUGAGAGGGCGACCGGCCACACUGGGACUGAGACACGGCCCAGACUCCUACGGGAGGCAGCAGGUGGGGAAUCUUGCGCAAUGGGCGAAAGCCUGACGCAGCGACGCCGCGUGAGGGAUGACGGCCU